GCCGGCGACCAAAGCGAGCGGCGGGCGGAAGGAAGGAGGCGGCUUCCCGAAGGCGGGAUUUCUUACUGAUCAUGGAGGCUGGAGAAUUUUCUUCAAGGUGACCCUUUCCACCCGCGACUCAUGCCUUCAGUGACAAGUGACAGUGAAUGCCUCUGGGAGACUGGGGAAAAGGGGGACUUUUCCCUCAAAACUUCUAGAGCUUCGGAAGGAUUGUCACGGUUGCCGAAACGAAUUUCACCAUUCUGGAGGAUACGGAUGGAUGUAUAGAUAUAUACACACCUACAUACAUAUCUACAAAUGAGGAUUAAAGGUUUUUGGUUAAAGAGCCCACUUAAGAUCACACAAACACGUGUGAUGUUGAACUAAACCAGAACUCCGACCCCUGAGCACAGUACUUUCCUCCAGGGUUCCAAAUUAGCUCCUACAUUGGCUGAGAGUCUUUUGGUUGCAAAUAAUGGAAAGUGUGAACCAAAGCGGAGCAGCAAAGGGAAAAAAAAAAAAAGGUAAGGUAUUUAUAGAUUCAUGCAACCAAAUUGUCCACAGACUGUACUGAUUUGAGGCCUUCAGGGGAGUCUUGAUUCAUGGGUUCGUGAUGCUGUCAAGAUACCAACUCCCCUCUGAUCCCUACAGCUGUCUUACUCCAGGUGCUAGACUGUUUUAGGCUAGCACCCCUUCUGGUAGCAUUAAUGGGCCUCCCCUUGUUUGAGAGCAGAUCCUUGCUCUCCCAGGAGAGCAAGGAAACUUCAUAGGAGGAGACUUUAUUAAGUCACAUAUCAUUGGUCGAAAUCUGAUACAUGCCCAUCCCUGAGCCAGUCAGUGCAGGAUGCUCUGCUGGACUCACCUGGGGGUGGGAUCGGUACGCAGACCACACAGCUGCUUUGUGCUGGAAUAGGGUGAGUCCUGUGAUAGAAAAUGUUUGGACAAAAGAGGAAGUGAAUCCUGAGGAAGCAGCCAACAGAUACCCACUUUUCCCUAAGAGCUGUUUGAAACCAAUGCAACAAAGCUCCAAAGCUCUGAGUAGCUCAUAAAUUCAGUUCUAUUGAGCUGAGUCAUGUUCCCUAUAAGUAUGUAAUACCUGUAGUAUCUAAAAUGUUAUUAAAAUGUCUAUUUUUUUCCUUUUGCAUUUGCUUGAGGUUUUUAAUAUAACCAGGAAUCUAAGUUUGGAAAUAAAGAUUUAAACAUAUAUGGCAUUUACAAUUGCUGUCCUUAGUGAGAAAUCCUAAGAAUCUUACAGCUUAGUAUACAGUUUUUUCCUAGGGACUCAUGGUCACAAACUUUCUGGACAGUGAACAUAACCUAAGGCUGCUGCUAACUCAGGCUUUUCUUUCUGCGUUGCCUGCACCUAAUCAGCUCCCCUAUAUAUUUUCAAGCAACCUCUGAAAAUACACUCUCUGUAUCUUUCCCAACAAACCCCAUAAUUCCUUAUUCUGUUUUCCUGAAUAAUUUUCAAACGUUUUUCCAUGUCUUAAGAGUGCACAGUGAAUGAACCGAGCUGUGCGAAAUAAACAUUUUGUUGUUAAGUCCAAAAGAACUAUACCUAAAAAAAAAAAAAAACAAACAAACAAACAAAAAAAAAAAGAACUAUACCUUUAUGUCUAAGAAAACACUUCAAAACUUGCCACCUACACAGCAGUAAAUCAUUUAACGAUACAGCCCUUUAUUGCACCAUUAGAACUCUACUAGAAUUCCACGAAAGACUUGCCAGAUUAUUUCCAUGGAAAUUAGUCUCAUUUUAGAGAGGUUAUCCUAAGGAACAUUCCACAUUGUUAAAAAACAAAAAACAAAAGAAGUUCAACUGAGUAAGCUGUUUUGGCUUUAUUCCAUGAUUCAUGAAUCAGGCCACCGUCCCAUCUAGGAAUUGCACAAAAUGGAAAGUUUUUAUAGGUGGGAAGGUGAGACAAGAAAGUCAAAAGAGUGUUUUAUUUCAGGAAAAAUUACCUUCCCUUUGGGGAAGGCCAGGGGGUCUUAUCAGGCUGAUUACCUCACUAGUGCUGACCAGGAAAUUCCAGACUGCUCUAAAAUCCCACUCCUGGAGGAGGCUGAAGCAGCAGUUAGGUUAGAUAGUAAUGUAAGUUGGUGGGGCUUAUUAGCAAGUGACUCUGGGGCUUAUUGUUCCUUUUAACAACAUAAGCAAUUUGUGUUUUCUACAGCUUUUUUAAAGUUUUUUAAGAACGUGGAACCAGCAUUCACAUCAGGGUCUGAUGAAUCUGAGCAGUGCUGGUGUCCUGUGUGGGCCGACCAGAAUGUCCUAUUUUAGCAGCUGUGAUAACCAGUGGUGGCAUAUACAGAUGGACAGUAGUCGUGAAACAAACUAUUGAAGCCUAUUAUUUCUAUUAUUCUCUUAUUAUUUUUCCUUCUGCCAAGGAUAGCCUGGGUCGCUAAGUAAUGGUAGUUAAUAUAAAAAUAUCUUUUACAAAUAAAUUUAGGUCACAAGGUGAGUUUAUUUGAAUAAAAAUGACCUAACGAAAUUCUAUGUCCUGUAUUAUAUAUUGAGAUGUCCUCAGGUUAAGUCACAAUCAUGAAGAUGGUGUAGGCAUAACUGGGAUUCAGGGAGCGCGGACUUUGCUCUUCAGCAUGUGCUAAUGGACUCGUAACCGCAAAUGAAGUGUUACCUUCUAUGGGGAGGUGAUCCUAGGCCCCUCCAAGAACUCUGAAAGCUAACCAGUAACAAGUGCAGUGCAUGCAGCGCAAAGAAAAGCAGAAUAAGCUUACGGAGGUGGUUUUCUAUCCCUACAUCUCUGCAAGCUGAUUUCUCCCGGGCAGAAAGGCAUUAACACUGUAAGGAAUGGUUGUAUGUACCUUAGAAGAAGGGUGUUUAGAAAUAAAGGUGCAGAAAAAGGAAAUUUGCCAGAAGAGCAGCCUUCACCUAGAGCAAGCAAGGAUGUUCCGUGAGGCUGGAUUAAGAAGCCACUUGACAGGGAUAUUGCUAUCGUCACAUGGAAGCCAAAUUUCAUUACACAUUCCAGUAAACCUAAAUCCUCCUUCUUCCUCGUUUCCCAAACUCCCUCGUGAUACUUGGGCUCGGUGGUCAGACUGCUGUAUCUAGACUGCUUGGCACUUACACUCCUUAUAAAUAAGUAAAGCGGCUCAAACAGCAGUCUGUGAUGAGCUUUGUCAGCGUGGAUCUGCUUCUUGAGAAGCUAAUUGUAUGAUGGGAUCAAGUCUCUACAUCUGAAAGCCUGAAGGCCGCCUCCUGGACUGGGUGAUUGCAUGAACAUAGGUGCUUGCUUUGUGGGAAUCUGGGUGAGCUGCACACCUGGAAAACCCCGAUGUCUCAAGGCUCCCCUUUUCUUUUCCAACUCUCCUGUUCACGUUAUUUGUGGUUUGAACCAAGUUCUUAAUGUCCUUUUAUGCCACAUUAACAUGUGAGAUGGUUUGCAGGUAUUCUCUUAAGGAAAAAAAAAAGAUACUUAUUUCUGUCUUUUAUUUUUGAAAAUGUAAGGACUCAAUGUUUUGCAAAAAAAUGUUGAGUUAUUUGAGUACCCACCUGCCUGAAAUUGAAGCACCAGACACGUUAAAUAUUUCUCAUUCAAACUGCUGUAUUAUAUCUUUCUCUUUCCUUCCUUGCCAACUUUUUUUGAAUGAGCCAUUUGCUCUCACUGCCUCCACUUCUUUGGUGCCAAGUCUCCCCUCUCCACCCCCCACCAUCUGGCUCCCACCUCCAUUAUUCUGCUGAAACUCGGGCUUCUGACUGAUAAUAGAGUUUCUUAAUCCUCAUUUCACUUGACUUGUCUCUAGAGUUGGAUGGCCUGUCUUACGUGGUUCUUUUGAAAACAUAUCUCCUUCCUUUUCUGAUGUCCAGGACCUACUGUCUCCUCUUAAUUUUUCUCCUGGCAAUGCACGCACGCCUUUCUCUGUUUUGGUGUAUUUUACUGCAAGCUUUCUUCGAAAAAGAAAUAUAACAUAGCAAAUAAAGCUAAUCUCCUAUUCUUUCCCUCCAAUUGAUUCUCCUGUUCUGAAGUUGUAUUAUCAUUGAUCUACUUUUCCGCAUUUUAUAUCCAUAUACAGUGUGUUAUUCUAUGUUUUAAAAUUUCACAUUUAUGGAAUCAUAGCAUUCUUUGUAGCUUGCCUUUACUGUACAUUAUUUGAGAUUUACCUGUUUUGAUAUAUCUAGAUUCAGCUAAUCGAUGUUAACUUCUCUCUAAUCUUUUGUGUAUAAUGACAGUUUUAACUACCUUUUAAAUACAGACUCUUAGAAUUAAAACUUGAUUGUUUAGCACCGUUUUAGGUUCACAGCAAAGCUAAGGGGAGCGUACAGAGAUCUCCCAUAUACUCUCCACUCCCACACUUGUAUAACCUCCCUCAUUCUCAACGUCCCCACCAGAGCAUACAUUUGUUACAAUUGAUGAACCUAAUUGACACAUCAUAAUCACCCCAAAUCCAUAGCUUACAUUACAAGUUCAUUUCUGAUGCUGUUUGUGCUGUGAGUUCGGACAGACGUAUACAGACUUGUAUCUACCACACGGUAUCAUAUAGAAUAUUUCCACAGCCCUAAAAGCCCUCUGUGUUCUGUUUAUUCCUUCCUCUCCCACCACCCCCUACCAACCAUGAACCUUUUUAUUGCCUCCAUAGAUUUGUCCUUGCUGGGAUGUUAUAGUUGGAGUCAUAUGGUGGUGUAGCCUUUCCAGACUGGCUUCUUUCACUCAGUAAUGUAUAUUUAAGGUUCCUCCAUGUCUCUGUUGGUUUAACAUCUCAUUCUGAUUUAGUGCUGAAUAAUAUUCACCAUUUUCAUGGUGUACCAUAGUUUAUCAUUUUCACUUACUGAAGGGCAUACUGCUCACAAGUGUUGGCAGUUGUAAAUAAACCUGCUAUAAACA